UAGGGAAUCUUCCGCAAUGGACGAAAGUCUGACGGAGCAACGCCGCGUGAGUGAAGAAGGAUUUCGGUUCGUAAAACUCUGUUGUUAGGGAAGAAAAAAUGUAUAGUAACUAUAUACAAAAGAGACGGUACCUAACCAGAAAGCCACGGCUAACUACGUGCCAGCAGCCGCGGUAAUACGUAGGUGGCAAGCGUUGUCCGGAAUUAUUGGGCGUAAAGCGCGCGCAGGUGGUUUAGAAAGUCUGAUGUGAAAGCCCACGGCUCAACCGGGGAGGGUCAUUGGAAAAUAAUAAACUUGAGUGCAGGAGAGAAAAGGGGAAUUCCUAGUGUAGCGGUGAAAUGCGUAGAGAUUAGGAGGAACACCGGUGGCGAAAGCGGCUUUUUGGCCUGCAACUGACACUGAGGCGCGAAAGCGUGGGGAGCAAACAGG
rnacentral:rRNA from 1 species